UUGAUGGCAAAACAGUAACAUGCUAAAUAAUGUGAUUAAAGUUGUUAAAAGCCAAAAUAAACACUUAUAAUUAUCUCAAGAAAAACGGUGUCGGGCAAGUGCAGGCUCUAUAAAGUGGGACUCCGUGAGCGUCUUUCAGGUCCUGCUGCACAAUAGAUCAUAGUUAAAGGUCUGUUAACAGACCUCUGACGGCUGAGCUGGGUAGCUUGCGGUUUCCUUCGAAACCUAUUGGCAUAAUGUGAAUUUAUGUGUGAGGUGCAAAUUGGAAGUUGCUUUCUACUGGUGCCCGUGGCAGAACAGAAAUCAUACUGUAGGGCUAGCAGCAGGAAGUACAUGGCUUUGAAAUUACGCAGCAGGGUUUCUGCUCGCUGCCCUUGUUGGUUCUGAGACAGGGGCCUUAUAUUGUCUGGUCAUGAUUAAAAUCAAAGUGUAGGCUUCUUUGCUGGGUGCCAGUAAACUUAGGUGAAAAGCAGAAACAAUCUGGGGUUUUAAUUAUUUUAAAAUGCAAUGUAGUCAAGAAAAGAAGAUGAAAGCAUUUUUGACUAAUCUAUCCCAAUUAUUCCACAUAAACGAAUUUGCCAAAAAAGAGGCCCAUAGAGAGAGUAAGCUUGCCUUUACAAGAGACUUCAUAACAUAUCUCACAGCUAUAAAAUAGAUAUAUGGCACGUAUGCUGUUCUUCUGAAACUCAUCGAGAAAAGUGCCUGAGGAUUAUGAUACUUUUGGGUAUAACCAUGGAAGAUUAAAGUUGCUCCUGGCUGUAAGAAGUUAAUGUGGAAUUUUGCUGCUUGAAAUUUAAAUCGGCUUACAAAAAUUAGCUCCCACUGGUGGAAACGUCUUUCUUCUUAGUAUGAGAAGUUGUUUGAAGCUUUUUUCUCUCUCAAAGUCUCAUCUUGAUCAGGCUUUAAUAUUGCUCUCAAACCAACCUUUAAUUUAAUAAGCAGAGUAAUUUUGUUGGGGAAAUUUUUCCAUGACAUUUGUUGAAUUAAAUGUACAUACUCAGUAUUCCAUCCCAGCAGCACCACCUAUUGUUGUCUUGUAGCUCUUCUACUAAACUUCACAAGAAUCUAAUUCACUCAUUUCUCUGGGUAUCUCUGUGAGAUACUCAACAUACAUUUUACAGGUUAUAAGGUUAAGCAUCCCAGUCGUGGUGAUGUUUCUAAAGUCAUAAAUCUGUAAAUAAAAUGAAUGCAGGACAGUAGACUUUUAAUUGGUGAAAGGACACUGAAUAGAGAGAUGACAUGCUUAUAAAAUAUUUAUGGAUAUUAAAAAAUGUUUGGCAAAUAAGAUUCAAGUUAUACCUGUAUGUUUUAAAAGUUCUACUAGCUAUGUACUGUGAUUCUACAAUUAACAGCAGAAUUGUAUUGGAAUAAGAUAACAGAGACUAAAUGAUAUUCUUUUGUGCCUACUGCUAUUGUACUUAGAAUAUUAUGUAUUGAUUUAUUGAAUAUAAGUGGCUUUUUUUCCAGUGGGGUUUUAAAAUCCACUUAUAAUAAAAACAAAUAGGAUUUACAUUUACAGGUAGAAAACGAAAAUCCGGAAGUGUGCAAAUGGGGUCCACUAUGGAAUUUUUUCAGCAUUAUUUCCAGAAGAGAGGUAGGAUUGGGAAUUUUAGUCUUUAUUUGAUAUUUACAUGCACUUAUAUGAAUGUGAGUCAUUGCCUGUGUUUUCUGUAAGCCAUCUUUACUUCAUGUAAACCAUGUAAAAUGCUAAAAAACUUUUUAGGAAGAAUAUAAUAAACAACAUACGGAGAUGGAGUAUUUUCACACAUAUUAUGUCAUUUGAUCUUCCUUGCAAUUCUCUAAGGUAGGUAAGGUGGCUUUGGAUCCUUGGCCUCUUCUUUUCUCACUAUGCACAUUCUUGAAAUUUCAUCUGCUUCUAUAGAUUCAAUUACCAACUGUACACUGAUCAUUUCAAAAUUUGUACCUAUGUUCCUUACAUCUCUCCCAACCUCUAGAAAAAAAUGUAUACAUCUAGAACUUCCACAAGCAUCUAAAACUCAAAACAAACUUGUUUCCUACAAAAACGAUGCAUCUUCCUAUACUCCUUAUCUUGGUGAAUGCCCUACCAUCUGCCUAGUUGCCCAAGCCAGGGAUCUAGAAGUUAUCUUAGACUCUCCCCUCUUGCUUGUCCUCUUCACUCACUCAGUUAAGACUGUUACAUUUCCUCAGUAUCUCUGAAUUCCACCCUGUUUUGUUCAGGCCCUAUCAUUUCUCACCUGGCUCAUUAUAAUACCUCUUACAACUACUAAUUUGACAUUCUCUGCUGUUAGAGAGACCUUUCUAAGAUUUAAGACUCUUAGUAAAAUACUUCAUGGAUGGUUUCUCAUUACUUUUAUGAUGAAGUACAAUUUUUAAACAAAUAAUAUGAUGCCACUUAAAAUAUAUGACCCAUGAGAAAUUUCCCAGUUUCCUAUCUUAUCUCUUCCUGAUCAUACUCAAUGUUCUUACCAAAUAGAUGUUUCAUUCUCCCAAAGUGGCAGUCCUAAGGAUGAUUCUUUAUUUGAAAAUCUAUUAAUGUAAGUCAUCUUAUGAUUAGAAAUAAGGAGCCAAAUCCUAUAAUCAUCUACAUAGAUGCUGAAUGACAUUUGAAAAAAAUUAAUACCCAUUCAUGUUAAAAACAACAAAUUAGGAAUUGAUAGAUAAUUUAAUAUGAUAGUACAUAUAAUCAUCAGAGCAAAAUGAACAUCUUAACUGAUGAGGAACAGAAAGUCAAUACCAGGAAAGGACAGUGGGUAUCUUAAUUGUUAUUUAGUUUUGAAUCGAAAGUAUUAGCCAAUGUUAUUAGACAACAGAAAUUGGAGGCAUGAGUAUUGGAAAUGAAGAGAUUAAACUACCUCUAUUGCAGAUGUUAUGAUUAUAUAUCUUGAAAACCAAAAAUAAUCUGUGAAAAACUACAAAUAGGAGAACUUAAUAAAAUAGCCAGAUAGAUAACUAACAUAAAAAUCAAUAGUUUUUUUUUUUUUGUGGGAAAUCAAUAGUCUUACUGUUUAUGUAUAAUGGAGAAGUAGACUCCAUACAUGAUAACAAAUAAAAUAGAAUAAAAGGGAAAACACAAAAUAAAAUUCCUAGGCAUAAAACUAUAUAAAUGUUUAAAACUUAUAUGAGGAAAACUACAAACAUGCCUGAGAGACAUAAAUAUGGCCUUAAACAGAAAGAUAUAACAUUAGUCAUGGCAAGCUGACUCAGCCUUAUAAGCAUGUUAAUUCUUCCUAAAUUAGUUAUUCAUAUAAUUCAAUUCCAAUAAAAAUAGCAGAAGUUUUUUCCCCUCUGGAGCUACACAAAUUGGUUAUAAAGUUCAUAUGGAAGAAUAAACAUGCAAUACUAAUCAGGAAAUUUCCUAAGAAGACAGGCAAUGCAUUUCUUUUUCUAAAAUAUAUUAUAAAGCCUCUAUAAUUAAAAGGUUGUGGUAUGGGUACAUGAGUAGACAGAAAGACCAAUGGAACCACACAGAAAAUCUGGUAAAGCAACUGAAAUACAAUAUUGAUAAAGAUAACCUCUCAUAAUAGAGGGAAAGUGUGUUUUUAAUCAGUAAAUGGCUUUGGAACACCUGGAUAACCAUAUGAGAAAAAGAUGAAAUUACAUCCAUUUAUCACACCAUAUGGUAGACAUCCAAAUGGAUCAGAGAUCUAAAUGCACAAAAUAUUUCAGAAGCAAUAAGGAAAAGAGUGAUAAAUUUGGCACAGAGUAAUAUUCUGAACACAUAAAAUGCUUCAAAGAAUUGAGAAAAAAAGGCCAAAACCUUAUAGAAAAUGGGAGAAAGACACAGAUAGUUCUCAGAAAAAGAAAUAAAAAUGACCCUCACACAUAGGAAAAUAUACUGAAUAUAUGAGAAAUGCAAAUUGAAACUACACUGAAAUAACACUUCUCACCUACCUGACUGGCAGAGAUCCCUAUACUCUGUUGUAGAGGUUUUGAUGAAAUAAGUAUGCAAAGUGGUAUCAGCUUCAAAGGGGUUGGGGGCGGGAGGAUUUAGCGUUAUUGAGCAAAACUGCAUAUACAUUUACUCUUCAGUCCUGCAACAUGACUUCUAGGAAUCUGUUCUAAAAAUGCAAAUUGACAUAUGGUCAAGACUGUUCCUCAUAGAAUUACUUAUAAUACUAAAAGAUGAAAUAGCUUAAAUAUUGAUAAAGGACUGGUUUAAUAAACUGGAGUACAUUCACACGUGGAACACAGGCCCUUUAGUGCUUAACAAAGGUGUCUGAAAUGCUUGUUAUUUUCAUUAUAUUAAAAGGAGUAAUUAGAGUGGUUAUCUAUCAACCUAAAAGCCUCAACCAAUUUCCUAAAACACAGUGAAUAACUUAUAUAUGUAAUAAAUGAUCAUGUGAAGAUGUAAAAUGCCUAAAAAAUCCACCUCCUAAUAACCAAUUACUAUAGUUGUUAACAGUCACCUUAUAUGGCGACUUCCGGGAAAGUGCCUUUCCUCACCUUCAGCAGCAGCCUUCCUGAAGCAUUUGCCCUUUUGAAAGUCCUUGUAGGCUUUACCAUUUUGACAACUGUGUAUGGAGAUUCAAGACUUUAUCUGACAUAAUUUUGUUUAAAAAGUUAUAUUGAGGUUUGAGGACACAAAUACGUAUUCUACCUGUAUUAACUGGCCAAAAAAUAAAGUUGUAUUGGAUAGA